UAGAUUAGGAGUGUUUGGACAACA
rnacentral:siRNA from 1 species